ACCUCAGAUCCCUUUUUCGUUCAGUUUUCUAUCUAAUCAUCUUGAUUCUCUCUUCUCCACUCAGUUAUUCACUUCUUGAACAAAUAUUCCCUGAGCAUCAGCAGGAGACAGAAUGUGAAGAACUAGAGGAGGAACCAGACAUGCCCUCAGGAACUCACAGUCUGGUGGACUUUCCACUCCUGGUAAAUCUCAGCCCUCUGAGCCACCAGUCCUUCACCUCCUACUGUCCCCUGGGAAGACUUCCUCCAGACCUGAAACACUCCUGCUACAUCACCUCAGGUCUCUGGACAACCAGAACCCCAAAAAUGACACAAAGUGCUCAGGGGCUCAGGUCUGGAAGGCUUCAGAUGCAGGAGUUGCAGGAGCAGCCUCCCCAUUCAACAUUACACACUGAAGUUCAGCUUUCCACUGGCUUUAC
rnacentral:lncRNA from 1 species